ACCUGGGAUGGGAUGGAAGGGAUCUGGAAUGGGAUGGAAGGGAUCUGGAAUGGGAUGGAAGGGACCUGGAAUGGGAUGGAAGGGAUCUGGAAUGGGAUGGAAGGGACCUGGAAUGGGAUGGAAGGGACUUGGGAUGGGAUGGAAGGGAUCUGGAAUGGGAUGGAAGGGAUCUGGAAUGGGAUGGACGGGACCUGGAAUGGGAUGGAAGGGAUCUGGAAUGGGAUGGAUGGGACCUGGGAUGGGAUGGAAUGGGAUGGACGGGACCUGGAAUGGGAUGGAAGGGACUUGGGAUGGGAUGGAAGGGAUCUUGAAUGGGAUGGAAGGGAUCUGGGAUGGGAUGGACGGGACCUGGGAUGGGAUGGAAGGGAUCUGGAAUGGGAUGGAAGGGAUCUGGGGAUGGGCUCAGCGCAGGGACCCGCAGGAUUUGGGGCACAGGAUGCAGCAUUCCCACUCCCGUUCCCUGGAAUCCUCCUCCCCAUGCUCGGAGCCGCCGUUUUGGGGGAGCCCGGAUUGGGAUGCGCCGGCCCUGGAUGCUGGAUUCCAGCUCUGGGCUGGGAUCCCUGCAGCUUUUCCCGAUACGUGGAGGGUGGGCGGUGCUGAGGGGUGCGACGGGAGUUUGGACAUUCCCAGAAAAGCUGGGAAGGCUCCAGAAAACCCUGGGGAAUUCUCGGGCAGGGGGGAGACGAGCUCAGCGCUGGGUUUGUGAUCACCUGGGGCUGUUUUUCCCGAUCCCGGGCUGGUUUUUCCCAACCCAGGGCUGGUUUUUCCCAAUCCCAGGAUGUUUUCCCAAUCCACAGAGGUUCGUCCAGGCCGGGGUUGUUCCCCAGCAGGGCAGGACCCAGUGGAAAACCAUCCCAGGUUUCCACUCGAGGAACUCUCCAUAAAGACCCCUCUGACCCCUCCGCAGCUGCUGGGGAUGGAAAUUUGUGUUCCCACCUCGGAAAUCCUUGGAUUGAGGGAUCCAGCAUGCUCCAGGACGGGAUUGAGGAGGGAACAAACCCAGGAUUGCCCCUGAGGAUGAUGAAGGCGACGUCUGGGGGCUCCGUUGAUGUUUCCAGAGCAUUUUAAGCUUUCCAAGUUACCCGGGCUUGGAUUUGGGAAGAGCUCCCGGCUCUCCUUCCCCUGCUCUUCCCUGCUCUCCCUCAUCCCCGGCCGCGGUUCCCUGGGAGCCGAGGCCUCGCUCCCGACAUGGAUCGGAGUUAAAUAAUUCACCCUGGGAGCUGGGAGCGCUGGAGGAGGCUGGGAAUGAACCCCGGGAUCAGCCCCGGGCACGGGGCAGGGCCGGGAGCGCAGGGACCGUCCUUGGCAGGCGGCGGAGUGGGAAAAGGUGGAUUUGGGGGGAUUUGGGUGGAUUUGGGUGGAUUUGGGAGCGGCGGUGCAGGGGAUGGAGCCCCAGGGCAGAGGAGGGGAGGGAUGGUGGGGUGAGGGGAUUCCUGUCCCCAUUCCUGUCCCCAUUCCUGCCUUCAUCCUUGCCCAAAUCCCUGCCUAAAUCCUGGCCUGAAUCCUUGCCCAAAUCCCUGCUCUCCUUCCUGCCUGAAUCCUUGUCCUCCUCCCUGUCCUCACCCCUGUGCUCAUCCCUGCCUGAAUCCCGGCUGCUGGGGAGGGAGGAUUUCACCCACUUUUCCAGCAAUUCCCACGGAAUCCGGCUGCAGCGGCAGCUCCGGAGCCGUUCCCGUCCCUCGGCCCCUGCACCCCAAAUAUCCGGGGGUGCUGCAAUCCCCCCUCGGCCCUGGGGGCUCUCCCCUUUGCCGAUCCCAAACAUUCCAGAGGGUGUCCGAGGGAUCCCCAGCAGCCAGGGGGGAACUUCCCUGAGGCUGCCCUUGGCUUCAAACCUCCCGGAAACUGCUGGGAAGAGGGAAAAGGGAAAAGAAGGCCGUGGGGGACAGAGGGCAGCUCCCCUCUUCUCUCCAAUGUCCCCAUGAGGCUCCAUGGAAAACUCAGCCUUGGGGAGAGCAGCGAAUCCCAUGGGAUGCCCAGGUUGGAUCCAGCGCUGUCCGCUGCGGGGACCCCCAAAUCCAAGGGAACGGCUCAGGCCACGCACCGAGCGAUUCCCGGGCGGAAAUUCCAACGGGAACGGCCACGGAGGCGUUGGCCUCCCAAAAUAUUCCAGGCCUCGUGGAGAGUUUUCAGCUCCCGGGGGAAUCUUCUGGAAUUUCGGCAUGCCAUGGGUGGUACCCCCUAAUGCCAGGAUCCCUCCCAGGCUCCAUCCCAGCGCUGAGCAGAGCUCCAGGAAAGGGAAAUCUGGAUUGGGAAUCCUGUGGUUGCUCCCAGAUUGAAACUUUGCUCGUUUUGAGUCUCCAGUGCUCGU